rnacentral:rRNA from 1 species
UACAGAGGGGGCAAGCGUUAUUCGGAGUUACUGGGCGUAAAGGGCGCGUAGGCGGUUUUGUAAGUGAGAUGUGUAAUCCCCGGGCUCAACCUGGGAACUGCAUCUCAGACUGCAAGGCUAGAGUACUGGAGAGGGUGGUGGAAUUCCACGUGUAGCGGUGAAAUGCGUAGAGAUGUGGAGGAACACCAGUGGCGAAGGCGGCCACCUGGACAGUAACUGACGCUGAGGCGCGAAAGCGUGGGUAG